rnacentral:lncRNA from 1 species
AGCAGUUUGGUGGAUUCCUGUGGGGACAGGCUUGGGAUGUCUGCAGGCUGCCCCAGCUGAGAGCAGGUCAGAGGGAUGCAGCACCCCAGCACGUGACACCCACUGAAAGGGAAGGCAGUAGAUAUGGAAAGAGAAGAAAGUCAUUUUUCUCCAGAGCUACAGAGGCUUGCUAUUGAGUUCCCGCAAGGCUGAGUGAAGGCUCUGUUGCUACCUAGUACUGCACUGCAAGCAAGACAAGGGAUGAAGAAAAUUUACCUGCAGUUAUCAGUUCUGUCACUGCAGACCCUACCUUGUGGACUGUAGAGAAACUAACAAAUGAAAGCUGCAAGAAGCCUCUCCUACUGUUCAUGCAUCAACACAAAUAUCUGAGGUUUGUCUUAUUUAUUAUUGGGUUUCAGUAAGAUGUCAGUUUAAAUGACCUAAGAAGUACAACAGGUGGAGAAUUUAUUGUGCAUUUACUGAGAAGAAAGAAACAGUGCCGCACUGAAUUAUCAGGUGAGAGAGGAAAAAAGCAAAAUUUGUUUCUCUUCCUUACAAGGAAUGACACUACGUAGUGGUAUAUUUGGGCAGUGUAAUUACCUUUGUCC